AAACAAAGACCAGCCUACAUAAUGUGUACAUGGGCACAACCAGACUUGGUACUCCGGCCAAAACAAAUAUGACCGCACUGACCCAGGCAGGAUAUGGUAUUGAAGCCAGAGACGGAAACUUCUCCUGUGAACCACAAAAGUGGCCCUGAAGCCGAUGAUGGUGUAGGUGACUGUGGCGGCAAAGAUAGAGGUCAUGCCAGUAACUGCAGUCAACAUCACAGCAUCUUGCAUGCAGUUGUUGCUUGGAUUGUAGCUUGAGAAGGAGAUAAGGCCUCCCCACGCUAUACUGAAGGCAUAAAAGACCUGGGCUCCUGCAUCCAGCCAGGUUGAUGCUUGUAACAGCUCAUCCACCUACAAAGCCUCUUUUACUUACCGAUACCGGUCAGAUACGGGCUGAUGGAUCGCCACACUCCCACGCUGCCUUUCCUCAAACGCUGGCCGAUGGCAAACUCUAGUAGCAGGAGAGGCAUUCCCUCCAGCACCAGCAGAAUCAGAGUCACACAGCUGCUGGAGCCAGAUGACAAAGGGCAAAAUCGGCCCUGGUUUAAUGAAGAUUAAUAUUAACACUGCCCAGUGGAAUUAGUCUCUCCGAGAUUAUGUGAAAGAUGGUCUCUCACAGCUCACCUCCUCCAUGACUCUGACACAGGUAAGGGAAUCGCCACACGUUGCCGAUCCCAAUGCAGAAGCCCACACAGGUCAGGAUGUACUGGGCUUUGUUGUCCCACUUGGGCCUGUCACUGGCCUCCUCCUUAUCCAUUCUCUCCAGGUCGUCAUAGCUCAGGAUCCUCAGAUCCAGU